ensembl:snRNA U6 U6 spliceosomal RNA
GAACUUAAUUGUCUGACCUCGUAUACUAAGACUAGAACGACACUGAGAAGAUUAGCACGGCCCCUGUGCAAGGAUCACACGCAAAUUCAUGAUGGAUUCCACAUUUUU